rnacentral:rRNA from 1 species
UUUAACGGCCGCGGUACCCUGACCGUGCGAAGGUAGCAUAAUCACUUGUUCUUUAAAUAGGGACUAGUAUCAACGGCAUCACGAGGGUUACACUGUCUCCUUUCUCCAAUCAGUGAAACUGAUCUCCCCGUGAAGAAGCGGGGAUAUAAUCAUAAGACGAGAAGACCCCAUGGAGCUUUAAAUUUUACAGCAACUCAGUCAAACAAACCUUUAUAAUCCACAGAGCCAUGCAUGCCAAUUUUAGGUUGGGGUGACCGCGGAGCAAAAAUAAACCUCCACGACGAAAAGAACUAAAUCUUUAUCCAAGAGCUACAACUCUAAGAAUUAGAAUACUAACGACAAUGACCCGAUAAUCGAUCAACGGACCAAGUUACCCUGGGGAUAACAGCGCAAUCUACUUCGAGAGCUCAUAUCGACAAGUAGGCUUACGACCUCGAUGUUGGAUCAGGGUAUCCCAGUGGUGCAGCCGCUACUAAUGGUUCGUUUGUUCAACGAU